rnacentral:tRNA from 1 species
GCGGUCGUGGCGGAAUUGGUAGACGCAAGGGACUUAAAAUCCCUCGAUCCUAGAUCGUGUGGGUUCGAUUCCCACCGUCCGCA